CUGGACCCGAAACAGUACCUCCACGCGGUGAGAGUCGUGAGUAGGCGGCCUGGCAGCCGAAACUAAAUCUGUU
rnacentral:ribozyme from 1 species